rnacentral:rRNA from 1 species
UACGUAGGGUGCGAGCGUUGUCCGGAAUUAUUGGGCGUAAAGGGCGCGUAGGCGGCCCCGUAAGUCUUGGGUGAAAGCCCUCGGCUCAACCGAGGAAUUGCCUUGGAUACUGCGGGGCUCGAGGCUGGAAGAGGACAGUGGAAUUCCCGGUGUAGCGGUGAAAUGCGCAGAUAUCAGGAAGAACACCAAUGGCGAAAGCAGCUCUCUGGGACGGUACUGACGCUGAGACGCGAAAGCGUGGGGAGCGAACAGG